UUAGUGGCGGACGGGUGAGUAACGCGUGGGUAACCUGCCUUACACAGGGGGAUAACACUUAGAAAUAGGUGCUAAAACCGCAUAAGCGCACAGCUUCGCAUGAAGCGGUGUGAAAAACUCCGGUGGUACAGGAUGGGCCCGCGUCUGAUUAGCCAGUUGGCAGGGUAACGGCCUACCAAAGCGACGAUCAGUAGCCGGCCUGAGAGGGCGGACGGCCACACUGGGACUGAGACACGGCCCAGACUCCUACGGAAGGCAGCAG
rnacentral:rRNA from 1 species